rnacentral:lncRNA from 12 species
CCCCCCCCCCCCCCCCCCCCCCCCCCCCCCCCCCCCCCCCCCCCCCCCCCCGCCGGCCGCGCCCUCCGCGCGGGCCCCGCGCGCCCCUCACGGGGUGCUGCCCGCCGCUCCGGCGCCCGUUCGCGGAGUCCCCGCGGCCGCCGCUCUCCUCGGAACCCACCGCGCACAUCGUGUUUAAAACACACCGCACUUUGCAUUUAAAACACACCGCACUUUGUGUCCGUACCCCGAGCCGGGAGCUCCAGGCUGAGCUCCGGGGCCGGGGCUGGACACCGGCUGGAGUGACUUCACCGCUCCCCGCUCAGCAAAAACGGGAUGAAAGGGCUAGAAUUGUGAAUUUGAACAUUGUAGCUGCCAGUGAGAGAUUUGCAGGAAAGUGCCUCGAGUGCAGCAUCCAGUUCCACUGUUGA